ACAUGAACAGAAAUAACUUCCAAAUAUUGUUGAGAAAAUUGGUAAAAACUGAGUGUCUAAGGCUUGUGCAUGACAAUGGUGGAAACUCCAUCAAUGCGUCCAGCUGAACGUCAUGCGAACGCCAUCAUCAGGCAGCAAGACAGAUUUGAAGUGACAUACUGAUGUCCGGUACCUGACCACCCGAUUCUGUUAGUCGCCUCUUACGACAAGCAUAGACGCGUUUUACGGCAAGCAUGGGUUGCUGAAGACCUAUUCUACCCCGAUCUUCACGAGUCUUUUGAUUUUGGACAUGCAACUAAAUAAAAGCAAAAACCCUUUUCCAUUAUUAUAAAGCUCAAAAA